rnacentral:rRNA from 1 species
UACAGGGGGUGCAAGCGUUAAUCGGAAUUACUGGGCGUAAAGGGCGCGUAGGUGGUGAAUUAAGUCAGAUGUGAAAGGCCAGGGCUUAACCUUGGAAUUGCAUUUGAAACUGGUUGACUCGAGUCGAGAAGAGGGGAGCGGAAUUUCCGGUGUAGCGGUGAAAUGCGUAGAUAUCGGAAGGAACACCAGUGGCGAAGGCGGCUCUCUGGACUCAGACUGACACUGAGGCGCGAAAGCGUGGGUAGCGAACAGG